UACAGAGGUCUCAAGCGUUGUUCGGAUUCAUUGGGCGUAAAGGGUGCGUAGGCGGCGCGGUAAGUCGGGUGUGAAAUCCCCAGGCUUAACCUGGGAACUGCAUUCGAGACUGCAUUGCUAGAGUAUGGGAGAGGGAAGUGGAAUUUCCGGUGUAGCGGUGAAAUGCGUAGAUAUCGGAAGGAACAUCAGUGGCGAAAGCGACUUCCUGGACCAAUACUGACGCUCAUGUGCGAAAAGCGUGGGGAGCGAACGAGGAAUUGAUAAACCC
rnacentral:rRNA from 1 species